rnacentral:misc_RNA from 1 species
AUGCUGGCUUCAGUUGUAAUCAAAACUCCAUCGCAUCUAAUUGUUCUGAGGAAAUCAUCCACGGUAGCAUAUGCAAAUCCCAACCAAGCAAUGCAACUGGAUUGCGUUUCAAGCAGGAGAGGAGAGGGAAGAGACGGAAGAACCAUGUUAAUUUUUAUUCCAAACGAUCUCGCAGUACUUCAAAUUGUAGAUCGCGCAGAUGGCAUCUCUCGCCCCCACUGUGUUGGUGAAAAAGCACAGCUAAAUCAAAAGAAAUGCGAUUUUCAAGGUGCUCAACGGUGGCUUCCAACAAAGCCUCCACGCGCACAUCCAAGAACAAAAGAAUACCAAAAGAAGGAGCAUUUUCUAACUCCUCAAUCAUCAUAUUACAUUCCUGCACCAUUCCCAGAUAAUUUUCAGCUUUCCAGCCUUGAAUUAUUCGUGUCAGUUCUUGUGGUAAAUCCAAUCCACACAUUACAAACAGGUCCCGGAGGGCGCCCUCCACCACCAUUCUUAAACACACCCUCAUAA